AUGUCCCUGACAAUGGCAGAGCAGGGGCCUCGGGUAUACCACAUGUGACCUCGGCCUCGAGAUCAGUGACCAUGGAGUCCGGGGAACUCGCUAGGAUUAUUCAAGAAGGAAUUAUGGCAGGUCUACUUCAGGGCAACAAAGGGACGACAAGAUUCAGUCCCAACACUCCCUUUACUCCCGAGAUAUUAAUAUUCCCCUUGCCAGACAGAUUUAAGUAUCCUAGGAUCAAAGAAUAUGAUGGGACCACCGAUCCAAUCAAUCAU
rnacentral:lncRNA from 1 species